rnacentral:rRNA from 1 species
GUUACUUAACGCAUGGUGUGGAUGCCUUGACUGAAGCAAGCGAUGAAGGACGUAGGAGGCUGCGAUAAGCCCCGGGGAGCUGUCAACCAAGCUUUGAUCCGAGGAUUUCCGAAUGAGGCAACUCUCUCACUUUUUAGUGAGAAACCGUAUCUGAAUACAUAGGGUACGGUAGCGCACCCUGGGAAUUGAAACAUCUUAGUACCAGGAGGAAAAGAAAUUAAUAAAGAUUCCGUAAGUAGUGGCGAGCGAACGCGGAAUAGCCUAAACCACCGAGCUUGCUCGUGUGGGGUUGCAGGGCCUAUAGACUCGAUUGAUCGGGGUCGUCGUAUUUUUGUUAGCAAAAUGUUUUGGAAAGAACAACCAAAGAGGGUAAUAGUCCCGUAUGUGAAAACAAAAAUGCCACGAUGUAUAGGUACCUAAGUAGGGCGGGGCUGGAGAAACCCCGUUUGAAUCUGGGAGCACUAACUUCCAAGGCUAAAUAUUGCUUCAGAUCGAUAGUGAACUAGUACCGUGAGGGAAAGGUGAAAAGUAUCCCGAUAAGGGAGGUGAAAUAGAACUGAAACUCCAUGCUAACGAAGAGUCGGAGCCUUGUUUAAUCAGGGUGACGGCGUGCUUUUUGCAGCACGAUCCAACGAGUUAGUUUUACGCGGCUGUCUAAGGGAUGAUGAAUUCCGGAGACAUAGUGAAAGCGAGCCUUAAUAGGGCGAAACGGAGCAUACACUAAGAAUCUCUUUCGUUGUGAGAGAGAAAAAUAUCGAGCGAAAAUUUUGAAGAGUUUUGAGACGUAGUCAAAGAAAUGUCUACGACGAAAAUCACUGAGAAAUUUGCAGCCGAGAUUUUUAUUUCGCAACAGAAAAUGGAUUUUUAGUGUAUGCUCCAAGGUCGCGUGGACUAGACCCGAAGCCAGACGAGCUACAUAUGAGCAGGAUGAAGCGUCGGUAAAACGACGUGGAGGUCCGCACCCACUUGCUGUGCAACUCAAGGGGAUGACUUGUGUGUAGGGGAGAAAUUCCAAUCGAGUUUGGCAAUAGCUGGUUCUCUCUGAAAUAGCUUGAGGGCUAGCG